UUAAGAAUCCGGGGAAACCAAAAAAUAGAAAUAACGCAUGAAACUCUGGUGAUAAAAUAGAAAGCGUAUAGGAAGCAUUUCUUCUUCCCUCUUUCAAUGUCUCAUUUUCGGUUUUAUCUUUUCCUCUCCGUCCGUGUCAAUGGCCGUAUCAACCUUUUUCAAUCUCUCUCUUUUUCCUCUUAGCAUUUUCCAAUUUUCCCUCCGUAUCAAGCUCUGAGAGUUUUUCAAUUUUCCUUUGACCAAUUUAGCUUUGACUUCGAACUGAAACCAUUGCAGUGGACACUUGGGAAUUUUGUUUGCUCUGAGAAUUUUCCAAAAUCUGGAUAAGGAUCGAGAUUCUUCAGGUUUUCUUUCUUUUUAUCAGUUUCUAGGACUUCUGUAGCUGCAAAAAAGUAAGCUGAUUAUCUGAUGGCAGAGUAUGAACCGGCGUUCAUAGAUGAUGUGUCUGAUCAUAGAUGAUGUGUCUGUGCCUGUGCCUUUGGAACUUGAAGGUGUUGUCGAUGAUGCGGAAGCAGGUGAGACCAGAAUGAACAGUUCAGGCCAUGGUAGAACAAAGGGUUCGGGCCAAGCAUCCAAGAAGGAAAAUGAAAACGGCCAAGCCAUCUUACCCUGGGUCAUAUUUGGGGCAAUGGCACUUGGCGUGGCUGCUGCAGCUACCAUCUGUGGUGCUGUAAUUUUCACUAAAAAGAGUGGUGAGACUCUUGAAAGUGCUGAUAAGCUCUUCAAGAGUCUCACUGCCUUGGCUAAAAAGUGGGCAGCGGCACCUCCUGCUGAUGUCCACAUUGACAAAGUAUUUGACAAAGUAUUUGUCAAUGUGGACUACACGUGGUAUAAGCGGGGCUAAUUGGACACUACAUAGUUCCAUUUCUUAAUGUACUGUUUACCUAUGCUGCAAAACCUUUGAGGUUAUAUUUUUGUAGUUUUAUUAAGCAGUGAAAAUAGUGGAUUGCUGAGAUCAUUGAGAAAGUUUGAUAUACCAUUUGGUCUUCAAUUCGAAGGUGCUAUCUGGAAUAUAUGAUUCCUGUUUGGUUGUACUACUUUGUGAGUAGUAGAUAAACAUCGGAAUGCCGGUGACUUAAAAAAAUUGUCCUUCAAUUCUUAUGAUU